rnacentral:rRNA from 1 species
AUUGAACGCUGGCGGCAGGCCUAACACAUGCAAGUCGAGCGAGCGGCGGACGGGUGAGUAAUGUCUGGGAAACUGCCUGAUGGAGGGGGAUAACUACUGGAAACGGUAGCUAAUACCGCAUACCAUCAGAUGUGCCCAGAUGGGAUUAGCGAGUAGGUGGGGUAACGGCUCACCUAGGCGACGAUCCCUAGCUGGUCUGAGAGGAUGACCAGCCACACGGGAACGGAGACACGGGCCAGACUCCUACGGUAGGCAGGAGUGGGGAAUAUUGCACAAUUGGCGAAAGCCUGAUGCAGCCAUGCCGCGUGUAUGAAGAAGGCCUUCGGGUUGUAAAGUACUUUAAGCGGGGAGGCGUUACCCGCAGAAGAAGCACCGGCUAACUACGUGCCAGCAGCCGCGGUAAUAC